UACGAAGGGGGCUAGCGUUGUUCGGAAUUACUGGGCGUAAAGGGCGCGUAGGCGGUACUUCAAGUCAGGCGUGAAAGCCCCGGGCUCAACCUGGGAACCGCGCUUGAGACUGGAGAACUAGAGUUCGGGAGAGGAUGGUGGAAUUCCCAGUGUAGAGGUGAAAUUCGUAGAUAUUGGGAAGAACACUGAUGGCGAAGGCAGCCAUCUGGACCGACACUGACGCUGAGGCGCGAAAGCGUGGGGAGCAAACAGG
rnacentral:rRNA from 1 species